rnacentral:rRNA from 1 species
UACAGAGGUCCCAAGCGUUGUUCGGAUUCACUGGGCGUAAAGGGUGCGUAGGCGGUCGGGUAAGUCUGAUGUGAAAUCUCACAGCUUAACUGUGAAACUGCAUUGGAUACUAUCCGGCUCGAGGAAUGGUGGGGAGACUGGAAUACUUGGUGUAGCAGUGAAAUGCGUAGAUAUCAAGUGGAACACCAGUGGCGAAGGCGAGUCUCUGGACAUUUCCUGACGCUGAGGCACGAAAGCCAGGGGAGCAAACGGG